CACUGUGGGUACAUGCU
rnacentral:miRNA from 1 species